rnacentral:tRNA from 1 species
AAGGAAUUAGUUAAAUAUAAUAUUAAAAUGUCAACUUAAAGUAACCAUGUUGGUAUUCCUUG